GGGAAGAAGCAAAACCUCAUACAGAUGACAAUGAAGAGAGCAAUACAAGAAAGAAAACCUGUUGCAGCAUGUUAAGGACGGCACAAUUCCAAGUAUAUGCUUCACACUUCCUUUCUUCUUGGGGUGACCGCAUGUGGAUGUUUGCUGGUGGUCUCUUUCUCCUUGAAGUCACACCAGGAUCCCUUCGCUUGGCAGCAGUUUAUGGAGCUGCACUUGCUGUAACUGUCA